CCAUCGCAUCCCUUCAAGGAAUUCCAGCGCCUGAGAUUCCAUGCAUUGUUAUACCACCACCUCCAGCUUUUCCAAGUUUAGCCACUUCGUCUCCGAUCUGUUCUCCAUAAGUGCCCUCUGCCGGCGAACCAACAAAUGAUGUUGAAAAUAUGGAUAAUACAUUACGUGGAGCGGAAGAUGGAAUGUUUGGCCGCUUCUUUGAUGCAAAUGGUAAUGAUGCGAAUGGUGUUGCUGCUGGAACUUUCUCCCCACCUGGUGAUGAUUUACCUACAUUUUGAGAUAUACCUCGUCGUGGUGAAGGAGGUGGUCUGAACUUUUUUUUUUGAUUAAUUGGAAGCAAAUGGACAAUUAUCCUUUUGGCCAUGCACUUGGUUAAGGUUGUGAUAUUCUGGAUCAGUAACUCAUAUGAUGCAUGGUGUAUGUAUUCCACGCUACUAAUUGGCACCUAGGUAGAUGACAUUUUGUGAGUUCUAGGUACUGAGCUAGAUGCCAUCUUUUGUAAAGAGUGGUACUAUUAUGUAAACUCUUUGAUGUUGCUAUUUAUAAUAAUGGUGGUUGAAAUAUAUAUUUCAUGUGAUUGUUUUCUAA